rfam:Gorilla gorilla gorilla genomic chromosome, chr3, whole genome shotgun sequence
UCCAUCUCAAAAAAAAAAACAAAAAAACCGGAAUGAGACAGAAAAUUAGCAUGGUCCCUGUGCAAGGAUGGCAUGCAAAUUUGCAAGGGUUCCAUAUUUUA